rnacentral:rRNA from 1 species
UUGAAAGGGAAACGAUUGAAGUCAGUCGUACCGGCGGGUAAUCAGCCUUUUGGGUGUGAUUAUGUGGAGCGUGAGGAGCUAAUCGCCUUCAUCUUUGCAUAUUCGUGCACUUUGGGUGUACUUGCUCGUGUGGUAGGUUAACAUCAAUUUUGAUCAUCAUAAAAUGAUUGAAGGAAUGUAGCUUCGAUCUCGUAUUGAAGUGUUAUAGCCUUUGGUAGAUGUGAUGAUCGGGAUUGAGGAUUGCAACGGAUACCCUUCGGGGCUACCCGUCUGAUCUCUGAAAGUUGCUCUGGUGCUGAAAGCUUGCUUAUGGUAUCAAAGUUGACGUUCAAUAGGUUAGAACGGGAUAAAUUCGUUAAGGAUGUUGACGUA